AAAAAUUAUUUUAAGAAUAUUUUUAGUAUAUUUUAUAGAAAUAAUAAUAUUAUUAUAAUAUUUUAUUAGUAUUGUAAAAGAAUAUUGAAAUAUUUGAAAAAUUAUUAUUUAAUAAGAAAAUCUAUUUUAUUGUACCUUGUGUAUCAGGGUUUAUAAAAAUAAUUUUAUUUAUUUAAAUAUCUCGAUUUUGAAAGAGUUAAUAAAUUUAAAAAAAUAAUGUGAUAAAAUUAUUUUAAAGAAUUUAUUAGAAAUGAAAUGUUAUUCGUUUUUAAAGGUAUCUAGUUUUUUAAGAAAUAAAUUUAAUUUAUAAUUAUUAUAUUAUUAAGUUUAGUAAUUAAUAAAAUAACUAUAAUAAUUAUAUAUUUUAUGGGAUUAGCUAUAAAAUAAAUUUUUAAAAAUUAAAUAUAAAAUAAUAAAUAUAAGCUUAGAAUUAGUUAUUAUUAAAUAAUAUGUUAUAAUUAAUAUUAAUAUAAAAAUAUUUAUUUUAUUUUAAUUAUUUAUUAAAAUAUUUAUUUUAUUUAUUGAAUUAAAAUAAUAAUGAUAAAAUUAGUAUAUUUUAAUGUAAAAUUAAUUUAAAAUGAAAAGUUAUUAUAAGGAAUUCGGCAAAAUUUUAUUCGCCUGUUUAACAAAAACAUGUCUUUUUGAGUAUUUAUUUAAAGUCUGACCUGCUCUAUGAUAUAUUUAAUGGCCGCAGUAUAUUGACUGUGCAAAGGUAGCAUAAUCAUUAGUUUUUUAAUUAAGAACUGGAAUGAACGGUUGGACGAAAUAAUAACUGUCUUAUUUUAAUUUAUAAUAGAAUUUUAUUUUUUAGUAAAAAAGCUUAAAUUGUAUUAAAAGACGAGAAGACCCUAUAAAUCUUUAUUAUUAAUUAAUUGAUUAAUUUAUAGAUUUAUUUUUUAAUUAAUUAAUUAUUAAUUUUAUUGGGGUGAUAUUGAAAUUUAAUUAACUUUUAAUAUAAUAUAACAUGAAUUAAUGAAUUAUUGAUCUUUUAUUAAUGAUUAUAAGAAUAAGUUACUUUAGGGAUAACAGCGUAAUUUUUUUGGAGAGUUCUUAUCGAUAGAAAAGAUUGCGACCUCGAUGUUGGAUUAAGAUUCUAAUUUAAAUGCAAAAGUUUAAAUUUUAAGUCUGUUCGACUUUUAAAAUCUUACAUGAUCUGAGUUCAAACCGGCGUAAGCCAGGUUGGUUUCUAUCUUUAGUAAGGUUUAAUAUUUUAGUACGAAAGGACCAAAUAUUAGAUAUAUAAUUAUUUAUUUUUGAAUAAUAUUAAUUAAAAAAAAAAAAAAAAA
rnacentral:rRNA from 1 species